UGAACAACUCUAUCUCUGGGAGACAAGUUAGCUUGCUCCAAUACCUUGUUCUGAAGCUCUUGUGGGUAAUCUCUCAUGCAACCAAUGCGAGCUGUUUCGUAGCCAUCGUCGGAGGGAGAAUCUGGAAUGAGAGCUCUACAACUAGCUGGAAGUGUUUCCUUCUUGAAUAUGUCAAACACAUUGCUUCUUUCUGGUAUUUGAAGAAAUGGAGGGGCUUACCGGACCAAGGUAUUUGAUGCAUUGUUGAUGAAGCCUAUGUCUGGGACAUCUCUCAAGCCUAGGUGGGAAGAAACACAUGAGAUGCAUCUCAUCUUGUCAUUGUGAUCCUCAACAACACGGCCCACACUUUGUGAUGUCAUCAUAAGUCUAGGGAUGUUAUCGACCUUCGUUGCUCGUGUAGACACACUUGUCGAGAAUUGACCCAUGAAUCAAUUUUAUUGUCCAACACCUCAUACAUGAGGCAUUGUACCACUGAUUACUCAUUCCUAUGCUGACCAGGAAGUUCUAAAGCUAAAGUCUUUUAAUUGAUUGUUUCCACUAAUGUUCAACUGAUCUUUCUUUCUUACUCAGAAACAUCCAAGAUUAUAGAUUGAUGUUAUGCUAUAUCUAUCCAGGGAGUUUUCUACCUUUGAAGAACAAGGUACGUGGUCUUUAAUUCUUGAGAAUAUCUGUAUGGUCUCAAACAAUCCUCUUAUGCAUGGUAACUCCUCAUCUACUAA